AGAUAUCCACGUAAAAUUUUUGAUCUGAUCAGAGAUCUAAUGAACUCCCCGAGGUGCUAGCUCCUUUGCAGAGUUUCGCUCCUGAUGGCUGAUUAAGCUCCAUCUUCAGAUCUCACAUACUCUCCUAGAUGAGAAGAAGUUUAAAGGAUGAAAAGGUGGAGGUAGAAAGUGAAGAGAAGAACACUCUUUUUCUCUCUUCCAAACUCCACACUAAGGAAGUAACCCAUGCCCAAAGACCUCACGCCCUCUAUUUCUUUCUCAUGAUAAAACUCUUUUUCCCUCUUGUUCGGCCAAAAGAAGUUCUACAUGCACAAAAGCAAAGCACUUCUUAUGGUUAGCAUUCAAA
rnacentral:lncRNA from 1 species